rnacentral:rRNA from 1 species
GUUAAGCGACUAAGCGUACACGGUGGAUGCCCUGGCAGUCAGAGGCGAUGAAGGACGUGCUAAUCUGCGAUAAGCGUCGGUAAGGUGAUAUGAACCGUUAUAACCGGCGAUUUCCGAAUGGGGAAACCCAGUGUGAUUCGUCACACUAUCAUUAACUGAAUCCAUAGGUUAAUGAGGCGAACCGGGGGAACUGAAACAUCUAAGUACCCCGAGGAAAAGAAAUCAACCGAGAUUCCCCCAGUAGCGGCGAGCGAACGGGGAGGAGCCCAGAGCCUGAAUCAGUGUGUGUGUUAGUGGAAGCGUCUGGAAAGGCGCGCGAUACAGGGUGACAGCCCCGUACACAAAAAUGCACAUACUGUGAGCUCGAUGAGUAGGGCGGGACACGUGGUAUCCUGUCUGAAUAUGGGGGGACCAUCCUCCAAGGCUAAAUACUCCUGACUGACCGAUAGUGAACCAGUACCGUGAGGGAAAGGCGAAAAGAACCCCGGCGAGGGGAGUGAAAAAGAACCUGAAACCGUGUACGUACAAGCAGUGGGAGCCUCUUUAUGGGGUGACUGCGUACCUUUUGUAUAAUGGGUCAGCGACUUAUAUUCUGUAGCAAGGUUAACCGAAUAGGGGAGCCGAAGGGAAACCGAGUCUUAACUGGGCGUUAAGUUGCAGGGUAUAGACCCGAAACCCGGUGAUCUAGCCAUGGGCAGGUUGAAGGUUGGGUAACACUAACUGGAGGACCGAACCGACUAAUGUUGAAAAAUUAGCGGAUGACUUGUGGCUGGGGGUGAAAGGCCAAUCAAACCGGGAGAUAGCUGGUUCUCCCCGAAAGCUAUUUAGGUAGCGCCUCGUGAAUUCAUCUCCGGGGGUAGAGCACUGUUUCGGCAAGGGGGUCAUCCCGACUUACCAACCCGAUGCAAACUGCGAAUACCGGAGAAUGUUAUCACGGGAGACACACGGCGGGUGCUAACGUCCGUCGUGAAGAGGGAAACAACCCAGACCGCCAGCUAAGGUCCCAAAGUCAUGGUUAAGUGGGAAACGAUGUGGGAAGGCCCAGACAGCCAGGAUGUUGGCUUAGAAGCAGCCAUCAUUUAAAGAAAGCGUAAUAGCUCACUGGUCGAGUCGGCCUGCGCGGAAGAUGUAACGGGGCUAAACCAUGCACCGAAGCUGCGGCAGCGACGCUUAUGCGUUGUUGGGUAGGGGAGCGUUCUGUAAGCCUGUGAAGGUGUGCUGUGAGGCAUGCUGGAGGUAUCAGAAGUGCGAAUGCUGACAUAAGUAACGAUAAAGCGGGUGAAAAGCCCGCUCGCCGGAAGACCAAGGGUUCCUGUCCAACGUUAAUCGGGGCAGGGUGAGUCGACCCCUAAGGCGAGGCCGAAAGGCGUAGUCGAUGGGAAACAGGUUAAUAUUCCUGUACUUGGUGUUACUGCGAAGGGGGGACGGAGAAGGCUAUGUUGGCCGGGCGACGGUUGUCCCGGUUUAAGCGUGUAGGCUGGUUUUCCAGGCAAAUCCGGAAAAUCAAGGCUGAGGCGUGAUGACGAGGCACUACGGUGCUGAAGCAACAAAUGCCCUGCUUCCAGGAAAAGCCUCUAAGCAUCAGGUAACAACAAAUCGUACCCCAAACCGACACAGGUGGUCAGGUAGAGAAUACCAAGGCGCUUGAGAGAACUCGGGUGAAGGAACUAGGCAAAAUGGUGCCGUAACUUCGGGAGAAGGCACGCUGAUAUGUAGGUGAAGCGACUUGCUCGUGGAGCUGAAAUCAGUCGAAGAUACCAGCUGGCUGCAACUGUUUAUUAAAAACACAGCACUGUGCAAACACGAAAGUGGACGUAUACGGUGUGACGCCUGCCCGGUGCCGGAAGGUUAAUUGAUGGGGUUAGCGGUAACGCGAAGCUCUUGAUCGAAGCCCCGGUAAACGGCGGCCGUAACUAUAACGGUCCUAAGGUAGCGAAAUUCCUUGUCGGGUAAGUUCCGACCUGCACGAAUGGCGUAAUGAUGGCCAGGCUGUCUCCACCCGAGACUCAGUGAAAUUGAACUCGCUGUGAAGAUGCAGUGUACCCGCGGCAAGACGGAAAGACCCCGUGAACCUUUACUAUAGCUUGACACUGAACAUUGAGCCUUGAUGUGUAGGAUAGGUGGGAGGCUUUGAAGUGUGGACGCCAGUCUGCAUGGAGCCGACCUUGAAAUACCACCCUUUAAUGUUUGAUGUUCUAACGUUGGCCCCUUAUCGGGGUUGCGGACAGUGUCUGGUGGGUAGUUUGACUGGGGCGGUCUCCUCCUAAAGAGUAACGGAGGAGCACGAAGGUUGGCUAAUCCUGGUCGGACAUCAGGAGGUUAGUGCAAUGGCAUAAGCCAGCUUGACUGCGAGCGUGACGGCGCGAGCAGGUGCGAAAGCAGGUCAUAGUGAUCCGGUGGUUCUGAAUGGAAGGGCCAUCGCUCAACGGAUAAAAGGUACUCCGGGGAUAACAGGCUGAUACCGCCCAAGAGUUCAUAUCGACGGCGGUGUUUGGCACCUCGAUGUCGGCUCAUCACAUCCUGGGGCUGAAGUAGGUCCCAAGGGUAUGGCUGUUCGCCAUUUAAAGUGGUACGCGAGCUGGGUUUAGAACGUCGUGAGACAGUUCGGUCCCUAUCUGCCGUGGGCGCUGGAGAACUGAGGGGGGCUGCUCCUAGUACGAGAGGACCGGAGUGGACGCAUCACUGGUGUUCGGGUUGUCAUGCCAAUGGCACUGCCCGGUAGCUAAAUGCGGAAGAGAUAAGUGCUGAAAGCAUCUAAGCACGAAACUUGCCCCGAGAUGAGUUCUCCCUGACCCUUUAAGGGUCCUGAAGGAACGUUGAAGACGACGACGUUGAUAGGCCGGGUGUGUAAGCGCAGCGAUGCGU